UAUAAAGCGCUUUUCAUUCCAAUGUAGCUGGAAACUUGGACUUGCUGAGUUUCUCGUGAGCUUGUUUACUGAGUUUUCAAUCUGCUUUUUGAGGCUUAAGGACUCUUCUGCUUAUGAGUCAACCCUGGAACCAGAGCACGUGGUGGAGGAUCAUACCUUAGUUGAGGGUACUUAACCCUGAGCAGGCAGACUGAAGAUUUAGUAAGCAAGCCGAAAAGGACUUCGUAUAGGGUGAGAAAGCAGCCGUUUGGGAGCAGGGGGAAAGGGAGUAUUAUCAGGAGAGAAUCUCAGCUGUACAGCAAUACAUAUGCAAGCUUCCUGUAAGCGCUCUUGAAUCAGCAGGUUUUUUUUAACUUAGGCAUCCACAGGUAUGUGUUUAUGCUCACACACACACACACAAAUAGUGCUGUCAUACAUGAAAGCUUUCCCUGUACAAACCCAUUCCCUCCCCCCUUUUCUUGUCCAGGCUUUAAAUUUCUCGAUGCACUAACCCAGAGCUUUGUUGCUGAGGUUUGGAAACAGCUGUUGGAACCAAGGCCGAGCUCAGAGCUUCUUCCAGCCCCCAGCUUUCCACAGUCCUGUUUCAACACUGCUGUAGGUUCACAGGUGUGCAAAGUUUCCCCAGCCACAGCACUGGCAAACCGCAGAGUGGAGCAGCUGGGAGUUCAGUGCAUACAGAGUUGAAGAGGAGAAACUCUUAAAAGCAGUACUGAACAUGGGUUAAGAAUCUGCCUCUUCAAACUCUAAAAAUUCAGGUGGGUUCAUCUGCCUUACGAACGCUUUACUCAGGCCCCUGGCAGUAUUACAUUAACCUCCUUAAAUACCAGAUUGCUGUGAUCUUGCAAUACCCCAGAAUGGUCUGUUAGCUACCCUGUUUCCCGGUUCUGUCAGAUGAAAGCAUCUGCAGCACGUCACCUUGGUACCCACUGCAGCUCACUGAGUCAGUUAACUCAGUGAGCUGCAGUGGGUACCAAGGAUAUCAACCAACACAGAGCUCAAAGGGCUUCUAUUACACAACCUCAUGUUUUUACAUUUUGAGUGCAAGCAAACAUGAUCUGAGGACUCACGCACAUGGAUUUUGCUGAAAUCAGUAAAAAUUAGCUGCUUAAAUCCCUUGAGGAAACAGGGCAACAGUAUUUUUCAGUGGCCUGGCAUUAAGUCCCAGGUGAAUGAGGUUAUUUAUUCUAGAUAGUGUGAACACCAAGAUGUACCAUGGUAUAUUGGGUGCAUACUACAGUUUGCAAGAAGGACAUAUUUCAGGUUUUGGGUUCAAGUGUAAGUAGGACAGUCUACAGUUAGGCUUAAAAAACAAAGUGAAAAUUUCUCCCAAGCCCGUCUGAUAAUCUCCUGCUGAAAGUUACUCAUGCUGUUGCUUUGAAAAAGCCCUCUCAGUAACUAGUCGUAACAUGAUGGGAAGUACAGCAACAACAGCAGGGAGGCAAAACCUUUAGCUACAACAAACAAAAACAAGCCCAAAUGCAGCAGCUAUAGAUACAAGAACAAUGAAAAAUUCUGCUUACCUUCAGAAGGCCUCAGUUAGGCAGGGAUCUCCAGAAAGAUACCCUCACUUCCACUGCCAACGCUUAAAUGAGGUCUGGGAAGGGGUGGAUCCUGGCUCCACCCCUUCUGGUCACUCAGGUGAAUUGCAUUGCAUGCACCUGAGCUCCCCUGGGCUGGCCCUGCCUUCCCACCGGGUGCUCCAUCACUGGUUCAGGCUGUGACUUAGCAUUUCUGCUGCACUAGCCAUAUUUUUCAGAUUCUGGCUUUAAAUAGCCUUUGAAAAUGGGAAUUAAACUUCCAAGUCAGCAAGGCAUUUUGAAGGUUUUACUUGAGGUUCCUGUUAUAUAAUUUUAUGGCAUCACACAAAACGUGCUGCUAUUUGUGGAGCUGUGCAUUGCCUCCACCGAAUCCUUUCUAAAUCAAUCUGAAGUGCCAUUUCCCAUCUCCUGUCCCAAUCGUGGCUCGUUAAGCAUCAUGAGGAAUGUAAUCUAUUAGCAGUGAUCUCCUUGGCUGGUGAGAGAAUCAGUUAUGAUUCCCCACCUUUUAUAAAACAAAAAAAUAAAAAUAAGAUCAACGUAAGGCCUGCCA
ensembl:lncRNA